CAAUUUUGCAAAACAAAACAAUGGGUUUCGGAUUUUAAGAACCAAAAAUCUUUAUAAUAAAGAGAGGAUAUACAAGUUCACUUAAUUAAAUAAAAAAUGCUGCCAAUAACAUACUAUAAUGCAGGAAGCAUUUUCCUUGAAGAAAUCUGGGAGACAAAGCAACAAGGUGCUGAUUUGCAGGCAA